CUGGGUUGGAUGAGUGGCGAACGGGUGAGUAACACGUGAGUAACCUGCCCCCUUCUUUGGGAUAACGGUCGGAAACGGCUGCUAAUACCGGGUAUUCACUGUCCUUCGCAUGGGGGGUGGUGGAAAGGUUUUUUUCUGGUGGGGGAUGGGCUCGCGGCCUAUCAGCUUGUUGGUGGGGUGAUGGCUUACCAAGGCUUUGACGGGUAACCGGCCUGAGAGGGUGACCGAUCACAUUGGGACUGAGAUACGGCCCAG
rnacentral:rRNA from 1 species